rnacentral:rRNA from 1 species
GAUCAUGGCUCAGGAUGAACGCUAGCUACAGGCUUAACACAUGCAAGUCGAGGGGCAGCAUGGUCUUAGCUUGCUAAGGUCGAUGGCGACCGGCGCACGGGUGAGUAACGCGUAUCCAACCUGCCUUACACUCUUGGAAAGCCUUCUGAAAGGGAGAUUAAUACAAGAUGUUAUCAUGAGUAAGCAUUUUCGCAUGAUUAAAGGUUUACCGGUGUAAGAUGGGGAUGCGUU